UCCGGCUUAUCACCGGCAGUUUCUUUAGAGUGCCCAACUAGAUGGUGGCAACUAAAGACGAGGGUUGCGCUCGUUGCGGGACUUAACCCAACAUCCCACGACACGAGCUGACGACAGCCAUGCAGCACCUGUGCUCGAGCUCCGAAGAGGGGCCCCGGUCUCUCGGGGCUUUCUCGAGCAUGUCAAGCCCGGGUAAGGUUCUUCGCGUUGCGUCGAAUUAAACCACAUGCUCCACCGCUUGUGCGGGCCCCCGUCAAUUCCUUUGAGUUUCAACCUUGCGGUCGUACUCCCCAGGCGGGGUACUUCCUGCGUUAGCGCCGGCACCCAGAGGGUCGCUCCCCCAGGCACCUAGUACCCAUCGUUUACGGCGUGGACUAC
rnacentral:misc_RNA from 1 species